rnacentral:rRNA from 1 species
UACGAAGGGGGCUAGCGUUGCUCGGAAUCACUGGGCGUAAAGCGUGCGCAGGCGGUUCUAUAAGACAGAUGUGAAAUCCCCGGGCUCAACCUGGGAACUGCAUUUGUGACUGUAGAGCUGGAGUACGGCAGAGGGGGAUGGAAUUCCGCGUGUAGCAGUGAAAUGCGUAGAUAUGCGGAGGAACACCGAUGGCGAAGGCAAUCCCCUGGGCCUGUACUGACGCUCAUGCACGAAAGCGUGGGGAGCAAACAGG